rnacentral:snRNA from 1 species
GUGCUCACUUUGGCAGCACAUAUACUAAAACUGGAACGAUACAGAGAAGAUUAGCACAGCCCCUGUGCACGGAUGACAUGCAAAUUUGUGCAGUGUUCCAUAUUUUU